CUCUUGGCCAUUUUUGUACUUUCGGCUCUGUUGUUUUGUGUCAGUUGUUGACGUCGUUUGGCGGCUGUGUGGUCGUGGCUUGAUUUGUUUAAAGGUUUCUGGUUCUGGGCAUCGCUCGGCUCAAUCGGCUCGGUGGUCAUGGGAACGGGGAGUUUGCCAAUGUUUCGAUGUGUUUUCCGGAUAAGGUUGGCUAGAAUCACAAUAGCAGUUGCGCAUUAUACGCACUGCCAAUUAACUCCGGCUGCCAUUUCCUUGGCUAUUUCUUCCAAUCUCCCAAUCAAAAGCCCGCAUGUUCUGGCCGUAAUCCAGCCGAAAUCAAAGCAAGCCAAACUCGUUUAUGGCCAACUUUGGACGGCGGAAUCCAGGUAAGCCUCAGCGGCUUUUGCUGACAGGAGGAGAGGUUGGCAGAGGCGGUAGAGGCGGUAGAGGCGGCAGAGGCCGUAGAAAGCCGCAACAGGCAGAGCAAAUUUCGCCGACAGCCGGCCGCUGCAAUAUAAUUUCUUUCGAUUAAUCCAAUCGAUUUCUAUUCAAUAAAUCAAAAUAUGAAUUCGUUACGGCUCCGACCCCUCGACUAGCCUAGACACUCCGCAGAUGUGUGUAGUAUGUGCGAGCGAG